rnacentral:misc_RNA from 1 species
UGUUGUUGCAACACUGGGAGGAGAACAUGGUGCUGCUAGAAAACCUGACAAGUGGCGUUAUCUGCAUGCAGGAUUUACCGUUUGGUUGUCUGAGUCUGAGGCUGCAGAUGAAGCUUCCGCAAAAGACGAAGCUCGAGUGGACAUCCAAGACGGAACAUUAGCUUAUUCAAAUGCGGAAGUGGUUGUGAAGUUAGGUGGUUGGGAUGAUGGCGGAGCUCAACCUGCUGCCGAGGCUUGUUUGAGUGCACUAAAG